UGGGGAAUUUUGGACAAUGGGCGAAAGCCUGAUCCAGCAAUGCCGCGUGAGUGAAGAAGGCCCUUGGGUUGUAAAGCUCUUUCGGUCGGGAAGAAGGAGGAUUGGCUAAUAACUGGUCCGACAGACGGUACCGGCAUAAGAAGCACCGGCUAACUACGUGCCAGCAGCCGCGGUAAUACGUAGGGUGCGAGCGUUAAUCGGAAUGACUGGGCGUAAAGGGUGUGUAGGCGGUCUGUUAAGUCUGAUGUGAAAUCCCCGGGCUCAACCUGGGAACUGCGUUGGAAACUGGCAAACUAGAGUACGUAAGAGGGGGGUGGAAUUCCACGUGUAGCAGUGAAAUGCGUAGAGAUGUGGAGGAACACCGAUGGCGAAGGCAGCCCCCUGGGACGAUACUGACGCUGAGGCACGAAAGCGUGGGGAGCAAACAG
rnacentral:rRNA from 1 species